rnacentral:rRNA from 1 species
AUUGAACGCUGGCGGCACGCCUAACACAUGCAAGUCGAGCGGCAGCGAGAUGUGUAGCAAUACACAUUGUCGGCGAGCGGCGGACGGGUGAGGAAUACGUAGGAAUCCACCCUCAAGCGGGGGAUAACUAAGGGAAACUUUAGCUAAUACCGCAUAAUCUCGAGAGAGAAAAGCUACCCGCAAGGGCGGCACUUGAGGAGGAGCCUGCGUCCGAUUAGCUAGUUGGUGAGGUAAGAGCUCACCAAGGCGAUGAUCGGUAACUGGUCUGAGAGGACGACCAGUCACACUGGGACUGAGACACGGCCCAGACUCCUACGGGAGGCAGCAGUGGGGAAUAUUGGACAAUGGGGGCAACCCUGAUCCAGCGAUGCCGCGUGAGUGAAGAAGGCCUUCGGGUCGUAAAGCUCUUUAGGUUGGGAAGAAGGGUAUUCGGUGCAUAGCCGAGUAUUUUGACGGUACCGACAGAAUAAGCACCGGCAAACUCUGUGCCAGCCGCCGCGGUAAUAC